rnacentral:rRNA from 1 species
GUCUGCAACUCGACUACAUGAAGCUGGAAUCGCUAGUAAUCGCGAAUCAGCAUGUCGCGGUGAAUACGUUCCCGGGUCUUGUACACACCGCCCGUCACACCAUGGGAGUUGGUAACGCCCGAAGCCAGUGACCCAACCCGAGAGGGAGGGAGCUGUCGAAGGUGGGACCGAUAACUGGGGUGAAGUCGUAACAAGGUAGC